rnacentral:rRNA from 1 species
UACGUAGGGCGCAAGCGUUGUCCGGAAUCAUUGGGCGUAAAGAGCUCGUAGGUGGUCUGUUACGUCUGCUGUGAAAUCCUAGGGCUUAACCCUGGGCCUGCAGUGGAUACGGGCAGACUAGAGGUAGGUAGGGGAGAAUGGAAUUCCCGGUGUAGCGGUGAAAUGCGCAGAUAUCGGGAGGAACACCAGUGGCGAAGGCGGACGAUCUGGGAAGAGUACUGACGCUGAGGUGCGAAAGCGAUGGGGAGCAAACAGGGGAUUAAGAUGACC